GGAGUUGUGGCUCAGCGGUAGAGUGCUCGUCUCGCACGCGCAGGACCCUGGGUUCAAUCCUCAGCACCUUUA
rnacentral:tRNA from 1 species